rnacentral:rRNA from 1 species
GCGACCCAGGUCAGGCGGAA